rnacentral:tRNA from 1 species
GGGGUUGUGGCUCAGUGGUAGAGCACUCGCCUAGCACGUGAAAGGCCCUAGGUUAGAGCCACAGCACCA